rnacentral:rRNA from 1 species
AUUGAACGCUGGCGGCAGGCCUAACACAUGCAAGUCGAGCGAGCGGCGGACGGGUGAGAAAAGCCUGGGAAACUGCCUGAUGGAGGGGGAGAACUACUGGAAACGGUAGCUAAUACCGCAUACCAUCAGAUGUGCCCAGAUGGGAUUAGCUAGUAGGUGGGGUAAUGGCUCACCUAGGCGACGAGCCCUAGCUGGUCUGAGAGGAUGACCAGCCACAUUGGAACUGAGACACGGUCCAGACUCCUACGGGAGGCAGCAGUGGGGAAUAUUGCACAAUGGGCGCAAGCCUGAUGCAGCCAUGCCGCGUGUGUGAAGAAGGCCUUCGGGUUGUAAAGCACUUUCAGCGGGGAGGCGUUACCCGCAGAAGAAGCACCGGCUAACUCCGUGCCAGCAGCCGCGGUAAUUC